rnacentral:rRNA from 1 species
GACGAACGCUGGCGGCGUGCCUAAUACAUGCAAGUCGAGCGAAUCUUUAGAAGCUUGCUUCUGAAGAUUAGCGGCGGACGGGUGAGUAACACGUGGGCAACCUGCCUGUAAGACUGGGAUAACUUCGGGAAACCGGAGCUAAUACCGGAUAAUCCUUUUCCUCUCAUGAGGGAAAGCUGAAAGUCGGUCUCUCGCUGACACUUACAGAUGGGCCCGCGGCGCAUUAGCUAGUUGGUGAGGUAACGGCUCACCAAGGCGACGAUGCGUAGCCGACCUGAGAGGGUGAUCGGCCACACUGGGACUGAGACACGGCCCAGACUCCUACGGGAGGCAGCAGUAGGGAAUCUUCCACAAUGGACGAAAGUCUGAUGGAGCAACGCCGCGUGAGCGAUGAAGGCCUUCGGGUCGUAAAGCUCUGUUGUUAGGGAAGAACAAGUACCGGAGUAACUGCCGGUACCUUGACGGUACCUAACCAGAAAGCCACGGCUAACUACGUGCCAGCAGCCGCAGUAACAC